GGUAGCACUCUUAACCUGCGGUUCAAAUUCCUUUGUGAUGUUUGAGGCUGGUCCAGACCCACCAAUGGGACGGGGAGAAGAGCAAGCGGUGGGCGGGGGCGCUGGCAGGGGAGGAGAGGGAGCCUUGGGGAGAAACCUGGGGGAGGCAGGGCUGAGGGCAUAGGGCGUUGAGUGAUUUUUGAGGAAAGGCUCUAGAGAAGCGCCGCGUUAAAGUAGGGAGGAGGGCCCCCCGAAACUGGCUGCCCCGGGGCAGGGCCGGUUGACCCGCGCCUGGGAGGAGCCCCGCGUCCCGUCGCGCCGACCCUGGGCUGGCUGCGUGUGCGUCGGGAGUCGAGCCGCCGUACGCACCAGGAAGUGACUCCCAGCGGCAGAGAUCCACGCUGUCCGCUGGCUUUUUCGUUUGCCGCCUCAGUACUAUGAAGUAUUUCUUUGACAGUCUGCAAUGGAGUCCUGCUUUUUGUUUCAUGAAGGUAUCACCAACUGUGAAUUCCACACAGGUUGAGCAGAGAAGAUUUUACCACAGCUGCUACAGUCAAAGGAAAAUUGGCAGUUCAUUGUUGCUGUGGUGAGCCCAGCCCAGGCAGGACUGCAUAGGAAUGCAUAGCUUUUCUGUUACAGAACUCAUUGGGUAUUCUCAUGAUGUCCACUAUCUUUUUUUUUAAGAUUUUAUUAUUUAUUUAUUCAUAAGAGACAGAGAGAGAGGUAGAGUCAUAGGGAGAAGCAGGCUCCAUGGGGGGAGGCCAAUGUAGGACUUAAUCCCAGGACCCUGGAAUCACACCCUGAACUGAAGGCAGAUGCUCAACCACUGAGCCACCCAGGCGUCCUGAUGUCCACCAUCUUUAGUCCAUUACUCCCAUACAAUCCUAAGGGAGCUCCCAGUGAGCUGGCUCUGAACCUACUUCUCCUCUUUUCCUAACCAAUCCUAGGUGCUAGCCAGUUGGUAGUUUCUGCUAACCCACGAUGGUUUAAUUAUAUUAAUAGCAAUGUGUUUCUUCCUUCAGACUAUCAGGUGGUUCAAGCCAUUCAAAACUGCAGGGCUAUCCGCACGCAGAUUUUUAUUUCCUGCAAGCCCCAUGGUGAAACCACAAGGAACAUCAUUGAGUGAGUCAUGACUUCUUUUUCUAAAUUAUUUUUUCCUGAUUAUCAAAGUAAUCCAUAUUUACUGUACAGAUUUAGAAAACACAGAGUGAUGUAAGGAGACAGAAAAAAGGCAUUAUUAUACCAUCAAUAGUCAGUUAUAGGGCCAGGUCUCAGGUAAGGCAAGUAAAGCAACUCACUUUGGGUGUAAAAUUUAAUAAGAUGGUACACAAAAUAUCAGUAAUUAAGAUACAUUUAUAAUACAUCAUUUUCAAAAAUCAAAAUUAGUCCAAGAAAUCCAUGAUGAAAAACACAUUAAGAUUAAAAAGAAAAAAGCAAGAUUCACACCUGUGCUUGCUAAACCCUGCCUCACUCAUCUUAUUCUAAUCUUGGUUCCAAUAAAACUUUAUUUAUAAAAGCAGGGAACCAGCCUGCAGAUUGUUUCCAAUUUGAUUUUCCAAAAUACUGUAUUAAACUAUUAUUUGUCUUGGGGGAUCCCUGGGUGUCUCAGCGGUUUGGCACCUGCCUUUGGCUCAGGGCAUGAUCCUGGAGUUCUGGGAUCAAGUCCUGCAUUGGGCUUCCUGCAUGGAGCCUGCUUCUCCUCUGUCUGUGUCUCUGCCUCUCUCUCUAUAUCUGUGUCUCUCAUGAAU
rnacentral:lncRNA from 1 species